AGCGAACGCUGGCGGCAGGCCUAACACAUGCAAGUCGAACGAAACUUUCGGGGUUAGUGGCGGACGGGUGUGUAACACGUGGGAACGUGCCUUUAGGUACGGAAUAACUCAGGGAAACUUGUGCUAAUAACGAAUGUGCCCUUCGGGGGAAAGAUUAAUCGCCUUUAGAGCGGCCCGCGUCUGUUUUGCUAGUUGGUUGAGGUAAUUGCUUACCCAGGCGGGGAUCAGUAGCUGGACUGAGAGGAUGAUCAGCCAGAUUCGGACUGAGACACGGCCCCAUCACGGACGCGAGAGAGCAGUGCAGGAUGUAGCGGACAGGCCGUAGGCGCGACGCGGCCAUGCCGGGGAGAAGAUGCAUCGCUUAGGAUUGCGCAAUUCUUUCGCCGGAGACGGUAAUGACGGUAACCGGUAAAGAAGCCCCGGCUAACUCCGUG
rnacentral:rRNA from 1 species